rnacentral:rRNA from 1 species
AGUGAACGCUGGCGGUAGGCCUAACACAUGCAAGUCGAACGGCAGCACAGUAAGAGCUUGCUCUUACGGGUGGCGAGUGGCGGACGGGUGAGGAAUACAUCGGAAUCUACUUUUUCGUGGGGGAUAACGUAGGGAAACUUACGCUAAUACCGCAUACGACCUACGGGUGAAAGCAGGGGAUCUUCGGACCUUGCGCGAUUGAAUGAGCCGAUGUCGGAUUAGCUAGUUGGCGGGGUAAAGGCCCACCAAGGCGACGAUCCGUAGCUGGUCUGUGAGGAUGAUCAGCCACACUGGAACUGAGACACGGUCCAGACUCCUCCGGGAGGAAGCAGUGGGGAAUAUUGGACAAUGGGCGCAAGCCUGCUCAAGCCAUACCGCGUGGGCGAAGAAGGCCUUCGGGUUGUAAAGCCCUUUUGUUGGGAAAGAAAAGCAGCAGGUUAAUACCCCGCUGUUCUGACGGUACCCAAAGAAUAAGCACCGGCUAACUUCGUG